UACGAGUGCCUCAUGCGUUAUCCGGAAUCAUUGGGCGUAAAGGGUGUGUAGGUGGUCUUAUUAGUCUUUUGUUAAAUUCUUCGGCUUAACCGGGGGCAUGCAAAAGAAACGGUAAGACUCGAGGAUGCGAGGGGUCUGCGGAACUCAUGGUGUAGCGGUGAAAUGCGUUGAUAUCAUGGGGAACACCAAAAGCGAAGGCAGCAGACUGGAGCAUUCCUGACACUGAAACACGAAAGCGUGGGUAGCGAAUGGG
rnacentral:rRNA from 1 species